UACGUAGGCAGCGAGCGUUGUUCGGAGUUACUGGGCGUAAAGGGUGUGUAGGCGGUUCUUUAAGUUUGGUGUGAAAUCUCCCGGCUCAACCGGGAGGGUGCGUCGAAUACUGAGGGACUCGAGUGCGGGAGAGGAAAGUGGAAUUCCUGGUGUAGCGGUGAAAUGCGUAGAUAUCAGGAGGAACACCGGUGGUGUAGACGGCUUUCUGGACCGUAACUGACGCUGAGACACGAAAGCGUGGGUAGCAAACAGG
rnacentral:rRNA from 1 species